GCACUCGGAUACAUCUAGAAGAAGGAAGAAAAAAAGCCACAUGUGCAGGCCGCAGCGAACUGGCUGAUAAAAGAUGAUGAAUUCCCCAUCUUGAUAUCCAUCUGACAAAAUCCCAAGAGCAUAGAUCAGCAGUUUCUAUUGUCCAUGGUUUCCAACAAAAUCACCCUGCCAAAGAAAAAGAGGAAAACAAAAUCAGAAACAAAACUCUUGAGACACAAGUACAGACAAAAAGAAAUUGGUGACAUAAUGACAAACGUAAAAGGAAUAAAAUAAAAAAUAAAUAAAAAUAUACCUCUAAGUUGAAAUCGGUAACUACACGCUUGUCGGUGCUAUUCUUACUCCAGAAAUAAAGCUGAUUCAUGUAUUGAAUCCUUAUGUGUGUUAUGUCGGCUUGUGAGAAACACUUCCUCAUAUCCAUAGCUGGUUCCCAUAACUCCAUGAACUUGACAGCGAAAAUACCGCAAUCAUUCCUAAAAAAUAUUUAUUUCAUAAGAAAUAAAACAAAAAAUAAAUGAAUGAAAGCACAUGCACAACGCGGGUUUUUCAGGGGGCACUAACUCGUUGCCCUGUUUAGGCACAUGAGGGUACAUCCUUUUGAAAGUACGAAAAUCGUGUUCUUUAGUUUGAAAUAUGAUUUCCCACAAAUUGAUGAAGUUGUCGAUCUGCAUUAGAGAAAAAGAUGAAAAAAAUGCAGACUAUCGAGCACCAUAUACAUUUUACAAAAAUGUGUUGUGAGGAUACAAAAAGAAAAAAGAUCAAAUGAACACUUACCAUUUUCUCUCGUAUUGACGUGUGAAAAUUUGAAUCCUUGCCAUAAUGUGAGUCCAAGAAAGCAAAAAGCUUAUAAUGGAAAUCAACAGCGAAAACUAUCCAGUGGCCUUGAAUGACAAUAGGGAAGAACAACUGUUUUGUAUGAAAAAAAUAAAAUAUUAAGAGAACAGAAAUUUACAAACACAAAAUAAGAAUACCGAAAAUGUUAUGGACAGAAACCUGAAACAACAUACACAAAACAAAAAACAAAAAAAAGAUACUAACCCUGUCUGAAUUAUCCAGUCGUUUCCUCCUCCUUGCUGAAGCUGCCCCAACAAAAGACAACGCGAUCGUUUUUAAUUGCUUGUUGCUUCUAUAAUUCAAGAUGUUCUC
rnacentral:lncRNA from 1 species